UGAGGAAUAUUGGUCAAUGGGCGGUAGCCUGAACCAGCCAAGUAGCGUGCAGGAUGACGGCCCUAUGGGUUGUAAACUGUUUUUAUGCGGGGAUAAAGUCACCCACGUGUGGGUGUUUGCAGGUACCGCAUGAAUAAGGACCGGCUAAUUCCGUGCCAGCAGCCGCGGUAAUACGGAAGGUCCGGGCGUUAUCCGGAUUUAUUGGGUUUAAAGGGAGUGUAGGCGGCCUGUUAAGCGUGUUGUGAAAUGUAGAUGCUCAACAUCUGAACUGCAGCGCGAACUGGCUGGCUUGAGUACACGGAACGUGGGCGGAGUUCAUGGUGUAGCGGUGAAAUGCUUAGAUAUCAUGAGGAACUCCUAGUGCGAAGGCAGCUCACGGGAGUGUCACUGACGCUUAAGCUCGAAGGUGCGGGUAUCAAACAGG
rnacentral:rRNA from 1 species